rnacentral:rRNA from 1 species
CCUACGGGUGGCAGCAGUAGGGAAUCUUCCACAAUGGGCGCAAGCCUGAUGCAGCAACACCGCGUGAGUGAUGACGGGUUUCGGCUCGUAAAGCUCUGUUUUUGGAGAAGUACGUGCGUGAGCGUAUCUGUUCUCGCAGUGACGGUAUCCAUCCAGAAAGUCACGGCUAACUCCGUGCCCGCCGCCGCGGUUAUACGUCGGUGGCAAGCGUUAUCCGGUUUUGUUUGGCGUAAAGCGAGCGCAGGGGGUUGCUUAGCUCUGAUGUGAAAGCCUUCGGCUUAACCGAAGAAGUGCAGCGGAAAACGGGCAACGUGAGUGCAGAAGAGGACAGUGGAACUCCAUGUGUAGCGGUGGAAUGCGUAGAUAUA